ACUAAAAGCCUCUAACUACUGGAUCAAGCGCACUGGUAAUGGACUGACAGUAAGAUUUUCCCCUCUAUUUGUUAGUAUAACUUAUACAUUCAUUAUACAUAGUUUGUUUUUUAUUUACCAAUUAAUUCCUUUUAAGCUUCCUAUUUAUUUUGCUUUCUUUUGAUAAGAUUCUCAGGUUGAGGUUUGAUGCUAUCUCUGUUAUGAUAGAAACGUGCAAAUGCAAUUCCAUAUAUAAAUAAGCUGGUGACCUUUUUUUUCAAAAGAUAUACCAAAAUACUUUGUCAUGUAAGGCUCAACUAUCCAAAGAAAGAGGGACAUCAAAAGAAAAGGAAAAAAAAAGAUCUGCUUGAAUUUGAAGGUUAAUGGGAACCACCAAUAUUUGUGCAAUGAUAUGAUUGUAUAUAUCUUGAAAUCAAAUAGCUUAAGCAAUAGGAUGGAACAUAUCAUACUUGAUAGUACUUCCUCUUAGAAUUGCUCAGACUGUUUCAAAACUUAGCUAAAGUUUUCUCAGUAGUGUUAUAAUAAUUUUUGAUACAUUGAACUCACAAAGUGUAGUGGAACUUCAUUAUUAGUUUUAAUAUCUAAAUCAAGGAUAUAUUUAAUUGAUACUGAA